GUUCCGAAACGUCUCGUAAAAUGGCUUAUAAACUUGUUCUACGAAACACACCGUGUAGACGGUAGACGACUUUCCGUUUGUAUCAAGAAUAUGGAUGCUCCUGAAGCGAGGAAGCGAUACGCAGAAAAGAUUAAAAUAUGCGGAAAAGAUCCCUAUUUGAUCAGCACAACACCGAUGGAUGUACCGCUCAACGUGAAUUUUACAGCGAUUUAUAACUACAUGGUUGUAGAGCCUAAUCCGUUUACCUGAGCUGCUAAAGAUAGCGCCAAAGGCAUGGAAGCUAAUCUUUGGUUCCAACAAGGAUGGGUGAAACUAGUGUCUGGCAGAAAAUUGGUGAAUGUUUAUGUGGUUCGUUUCAAAGUUUUGCAUUUUUUCAGUCUGCGGGAGCGCCCGUUAAAUCCGUGGAUUUUAGUUGAUCACAGCGGUCGUAUUUUAUCCGCACACUGUGACUGUGCCAUUGGAUUACUAGAGACAUGCUCUCAUGUUGGAGCCACUCUGUUUGCCCUCGAUGACAUCAGACAAAAAUUUCUGGACAAAAAGUGGCACCUGAAAAUGCAGCGGAAGCGGUAGGUGGAUGCGUUCACGGCCGCCCUCAACACAUUUCAGAAGGUGCAGAAGAAGACGGUGAAUUUGAAGAAAAAUAUCGUGCGGCAGGAGAAGCUCAUGUGACCCUAAACAUCUGCCCGAGUACAACUAUUCUCCAGCAUGGGGAGCACAGUCAUCUUCAACAACGCGUUCGAUUUGGAAAACUUUGUGAGCGGUCAUCUGAGCCAUAAGCAGGAGCAGCUGCGGAAAGAAAGCGAUCUGCAUGCGCUGAAAACCGAGAGCAUGCAAUCCGUGAAUUGGGUCCUAAAAUUUGUAAUGAAAUCUUGUUUUUAUUUAAUAACACGAAAAAGC